UGUCUCCUGGAAACGGGUGGUAAUGCCGGAUGCUCCAUCACACCGCAUGGUGUGUUGGGAAAGCCUUUGCGGCAUGGGAUGGGGUCGCGUCCUAUCAGCUUGAUGGCGGGGUAACGGCCCACCAUGGCUUCGACGGGUAGCCGGCCUGAGAGGGCGACCGGCCACAUUGGGACUGAGAUACGGCCCAGACUCCUACGGGAGGCAGCAGUGGGGAAUAUUGCACAAUGGGCGCAAGCCUGAUGCAGCGACGCCGCGUGAGGGAUGGAGGCCUUCGGGUUGUAAACCUCUUUUGUUAGGGAGCAAGGCAUUUUGUGUUGAGUGUACCUUUCGAAUAAGCACCGGCUAACUACGUGCCAGCAGCCGCGGUAAUACGUAGGGUGCAAGCGUUAUCCGGAAUUAUUGGGCGUAAAGGGCUCGUAGGCGGUUCGUCGCGUCCGGUGUGAAAGUCCAUCGCUUAACGGUGGAUCCGCGCCGGGUACGGGCGGGCUUGAGUGCGGUAGGGGAGACUGGAAUUCCCGGUGUAACGGUGGAAUGUGUAGAUAUCGGG
rnacentral:rRNA from 1 species